rnacentral:rRNA from 1 species
CGACCGGCGCACGGGUGAGUAACGCGUAUCCAACCUGCCUUACACUCUUGGACAGCCUUCUGAAAGGGAGAUUAAUACAAGAUGUUAUCAUGAGUAAGCAUUUUUCACAUGAUUAAAGGUUUACCGGUGUAAGAUGGGGAUGCGUUCCAUUAGAUAGUAGGCGGGGUAACGGCCCACCUAGUCUUCGAUGGAUAGGGGUUCUGAGAGGAAGGUCCCCCACAUUGGAACUGAGACACGGUCCAA